UUCAGAGACUCAAGAUUAACAGGAAUGCUCUCUAAGGUCUCUGAAACUGUAAGGAUGAAAGUCGUAGUUUUGUUGCUGGGUCUUCUUGUUACAUGUCAUACUGCCCCGGUUAAUGAGAACCAUGAAAGAGUGGCACGAUCUGCAAGUGAUAGUGAAGAGGGACAGGACCUCCAUCUCUUCAUGCCUGAGAUUAUAUAGACCCUGUCAAAAGUCAACCAACUCCCUCCUCAGGUCCCAGCUGCCCCACAACCCCCUUAAGCCCUACCUCUGGAUCUGCCUCCUAAAACCAAUCCAAACAUCAUUGUCCAUACCAUCCCAGCUCCUCCUAGCAGUAGAGAGUUUUCCCCCUGGGCCUGUUCUUCCCCAAACCAUCAACCUCCACAUCACUGCUCCAGUGCAGGGUAGCAGCCCCCAGAGUCCAGAGCAGCCAACCCAGGAAGUGAUACUGGCCACACCAGUCACCCUACAGGGCAUUCCAUUCAACUCACUUGCAGUCCCCUUUGGCCCUUUAAUGCCUCAACAGGGUAUGACGUUCCCUGCACCCCCACACGGUAUGCCAUUUUCCGGACUCCCACAAGAUAUGCCAUUUGCCGACUCCCACAAGGUAUUCCUUCUGCUGGACCCCAACAGGGUGUGCUUCUUCCUGGAUCCCAGCAACCUAACUCUCAGGGUAUCUCCUUCAUCACUCUGAUCCCUCAACAACAGGGUAUGCCUGGCUACUACAACCCAGCUCUACUCCAUCCCAACCCUUUCUUCAACUCAGCUCUACCCCAGCCCAACCUCUUCUUCAACCCAGCUCUACCCCAGCCAAACCCCUUAUUCAGGGCUUUCACUCCACAGAUGAACCCCUUCAAGGGAGUCUAUCCAACCAUGGGCAUAUCUCCCCCCAUCAUAUUCAGAGAGAGGGGCCAGGCAUCUUCAACUCUCGUGCCGUCUGAGAUACAACUCACUGAGGACAACCCACCACAAUCCACUGAAGACUGCCCACCACAACAACACGUAGAGGACAACUAGCUACCCACACAAUAUGAAGAGUCUGUUUAGUUUAUUCCCUGUACUUGUUUUCUGGUAUCUUUUGUAUUUAUAGCAGAAACCCUGCUUCUUCCACUUUGUAGUGGUCCUCUGUAGCUUAGUUGGUAGAGCAUGGCACUUGCAAUGCCAGGAUAGUAGGUUU